CCAGAGAAGUGAAGGCGGGUGCUGCUUUCUGGCCACAGAAGCAUUUAUGACUGGUUGCACUUACACUGGGCUUGCAGAGAAAGAAGACCCUGUAGAGGGUGGCCCUGAGAUGGGGCUGGAGAUAAAACAGACCCAGGGAAGUAGCAGCAGUGAAGGAUUGAGGGUGACCAGAUGUCUCGAUAUGAUCGGGACAGUCCUGAUUUUAGAAGAUUUGUCCUGUGUCCUGACCUUACAUCGGUCGGGACACCCUUUGUCCCAACAUCGGGACAGUCUGGACCACAGCUGCAGCACCACCACUCACCGCUUCCUGGGGCAGCUCCCGGCGCCCGCUGCAGGGGUGGGGCUUGCAGGCACCGGGAACGGGCAGAGAGCCCUCCACCCCCACACCCAACCCGACCUGACCUGACCCGCGACCCUAGGAGCCAGAGGAACCUGCCUGCUGGAUGCUUCCUGGGACGGGAGCCGCCCCAGCCUCAUGAAUGGUCUAAGAGUCUGAACUUGAAAAUCAGUGAGUGCACCCAACUCCCCUUGACUGCAACAGUAGUUGAGUCUUCAGCAUCCGGCAGGACUGAGCCUUGGGACAAUGUCUACCAAUAUGCAACUAUAGCUCCAACAACAUGAUCUGCAGCAGUUAAAAUAAUAAUGUGAAGAAAGACAGAGGUGUAGAAGAAAAGCAGCGGUCUCUGCCCAGCCUCUAACUUGCUCCCCGCAGUUCAUUGCAGGCACAAAAUGUGGGGCUGUUUUACAAAUGUUUGCCCUUAAAACCCAGCCUUUGCAGCCACCUUAAACAAAAUAGUGUGCAGAACAGGCUCUGAAGUUGCAGAAGUGGAAGGUCAACAUCUGAUUUCCAGAAGCUUGUGAUCUCUACAGAAACCUGCCUGUGCUUCCAGAUCUUUUAUAUUCUGCCAAGUUGAAUGUAGUUACAUGGGCUUUAUGGAAAUAAUCAUGUGAGCUGUUCCUGUUGAGAUACUGUAUCAAGAAUGCUUAAUUGCAGGAUGGAUGUUUAACGAGUGAAAAUUUCAUCUAGUACAGCAAACACUUUGUGUAAGGCUGAUCUGAGCUGUGUUGUACUGUUUCAUGUUAUGGAGUAUGAUUAUUGUAAACUGCAGAACCACUGAGAGACAAAGCACAAUAAUCCUCAAUAAAUAGAAGCAGUCUUAGAGUUUUGAUAGCAAGGGUACACUGUAUCUUUAGCCUUCAAGGUUUGGGGAAUAGGUUCCAUCCACCACAACAAAUGUUGACUGCUUAAAAUAGAAUGCAGCCUUCGUUCAGUCUCUCAAAUCUCCCUCAAAUUAUCCCUUUUCUUUCAGGUUAGGAUUUCCCUGCUCUGCACCAAUGGGAAAUGUGAGUCUUCUCACCUUAGGAUUGCUAUAAGUGGCUCCCCUAU